rnacentral:lncRNA from 1 species
GAUAGAUAGACAGAUAGAUAGAUGGAUAGAUAGAUACAUAUAUCAUGUAGGUAGAUGGAUAGACAUAUAAACAGACACAGAUAGAUAUUCUUUAAUUGUAAGAUAGGGUUCUAUAUACCGUAUAUAGUUUUUAUCAUUGAAAUUGUUCAUGAUAAUGAGCAAGAUGAAAUUAAUCAUUUGUGUAAUAUUGAUGAUUUGCAUAAUAUAUGUUUUUUAAAUUAAUAUUUACUAUUAAUGAUGUCAUAAUAAAAAUGGCAUUACAACAAUUUUAUGAUGACGAUGGUUUGCAUUCAUCGUGCUAGCUGUACGGGAAAAUAAUGUCAUCACAGUAUAAACAUAGCAACUGCAAUAUUGGUUGACGCCCCCUAUCGAUACAGAUAUGCAUGCUCGAGCGCAUGCAUGAUAAACAACGUGUUGGACGAGUUAGGCCUACUGCUUUAAAGAAGUUUUGUUUAACUUUCAAGCUUGUUGUCUGCCAUACCGGAAAUCUUGGAGCCUGUGUCUCUGUCUCUGAGACUGAGAGUAAGACUGUUGUAGCGUGAGGACUAAAGUCGUUAAUUAUAUCAGGCCUAAUUAGGGUCUUUUGACAUCUUGUUCUUGCCUACUGGUACGCCGUAGCCGUCGUCACGGCCUUCGGCUUCGCUGUAUUCGUACGUGUGAAUUGACAGUUUACAUCAGUUCAGUUGAAAUCGAAGACUUCUUCAAAGUCAAGUUUCAGUUUUUGUCAACUCAAGGAGCAUUUGCAACUUCAUUUGUGUGUAAUUUCAGAGUCUCAUCUUGAGGCAAUUCAGCGAAGGCUUGCGCUGAAGGUGUUUAUAUUGUUAUUUCUGUGUACAGUUAUUUCAGAGGGCAGAAGGCCAUUGAGUACAGGUUUCUUGGAGGUAGUUAAAUUGUUAUUACAGCUCCAUAUCACUCAUCUCAUACCAUUUCACCUUCACCCUCAGAUCCUUUAGACGUAAAGGUGCGAGAAGUAAGAAACUCAUUUAGAACCUCAUCCUAAACUUCAUAUUCAUAACAUUUCAUUCAUACCAUAUACCAUACCAUUUCAUUUUCACCCUCUCACCUUUAGACGUAAAGGUGAGAGACAAAACGAACUCAUUUAGAACCUCAGAAACUUCAUUUUAAACUUUCAUCGAAAUUUCAUCUGGAAGUCUGUCUACCAAUUCACGACAAUAACCCUUGCAUUUAGAGGCUUGGGUGAGUCACAAGGAAUUGGGGAUAGCAACGAACAAACAGAACUUUUAAACACAUAAUUCUUUUAAACACAUAAUUCUUUUAAACAACUUAAAAAACUAAAAAAAAACAAACUAAAAACAAACAAACAAUCCCAAACAAACAAAAAACCUAAACUAAAGAAUUAAAAACAUUGAAUGACUUCCCCAAUUUGUGUCAAGAGUUUUUAUUUGAUUGACUUUGGGAAUUUGUAGCAUUUGGUUAAGAAAGGAAAUAGUGAUUGAUUGUUUGUGAGAAGAGAAUACAAGUGAGCUUCAUUGAUAACUUAGAGAGAAAGUAUAUUAAAUAUAAAAGUGAAUUUGAUUAAAAAAAUUAGAAGUUUGUGGCACAACAGUGAGAGAAAGAGUUUUGAAAAUAUAAGUUAACUAGACUGAGAAAUAGAGUAUCUAAGAAAACUUAAUUUUUAUAGAUCAAGUGUAAUAUAGUACUUUAAACCACAAAUCUAUUUUACUAUUUUGGUUCCAUAUCCAAGAAACCAAAAAAAUAAGAAUUGGAAGGUAUUACUUGCAGAGAAUUGAUUUCAAAAGUGUAUUGAUUGCAUUCCCUAGUGUAAAUUAAAAAUAGUAAUACAAUUUUUUUCAAGGUGAAAAAGUGAAAAGUGACUUUACACAAUAAGUGCAAACAGUGAUAUAACUGAAUACGUCAAAAGAGGUAAGAGCAAUAUUCCAGAUUUGAUAGAGCAGAUAAAGAGUGAUAGAGCAGAUAAGGAGAAAGUAACAUUGUGAUAAAGAGGUAUCUGAAAAAUCAAGUGAACUGGAUUGAGUGAAAAUUGCUCUUUGUAAAUUUGACUUGGAAUAUAAAGUGUAAAAAAGGAAAAAGCUUGAUUGAAGUCGAGGUUACAGAUAAAAUUUUAUAGUGUUUGAAACGGGCAAUUGAUUUUCAUUACAAAGAAUAAAACAACUUUUUAAAUACAAAGGACUAAGUGAUUUGGGCUGAGCUUUAUAGAAUUUUGCAAAUAAAAAUUUAAUUUAUUGACAAAAAUACAGAUAAAAGAUACAAAAAGGCACUAAAAUUUUAAAAGGGGUAAGACUAAUGCAUAACUGCAACUAGGGAUAAACUUGAGUAAAGUGAAAGAGUUAAAAUACAGAAUAAAGGCUAGAAGCGUUAUUGCAGAAUUUGAUUUAGAAAAUAGUGAUAUUUUUUCUCAAAGGGUAAAAUAGUGACCUUGUUGAUAAAAAGAGAAAUUUGAGUGAACCUGACUGAGCAAAUUAAUAGUCGUUCAUAAAUUUGACUAGGGAUAUAAAGUUUGAUAGAGGAAAAAAAUAUCUCGCUUGAUUAUAGUUAAAGUUAUAUAUGAAAAUAUAGAGUUCCUUACAGAUAAGAUACUGAAAGGUACAAAAAUUUUGA